CAGUAGCACGGUAAUACGUAGGGUGCGAGCGUUAAUCGGAAUUACUGGGCGUAAAGCGUGCGCAGGCGGUUAUAUAAGACAGAUGUGAAAUCCCCGGGCUCAACCUGGGACCUGCAUUUGUGACUGUAUAGCUAGAGUACGGUAGAGGGGGAUGGAAUUCCGCGUGUAGCAGUGAAAUGCGUAGAUAUGCGGAGGAACACUGAUGGCGAAGGCAAUCCCCUGGACCUGUACUGACGCUCAUGCACGAAAGCGUGGGGAGCAAACAGGAUUAGAUACCCGCGUAGUCCCUGUCUCUUAUACA
rnacentral:rRNA from 1 species